UGGUUCACAAGGUGGAGAUGUUCACUGCCAAAGGAGAUUUGCUCGGCAAUUCAGCUGUGCAAUCAUUCAGUCACCUAAUAUAUAUAUCAACCCGAAGGUUGGAGGCAAUAGUUCUAAGGAAGGGACUUUUAAUAGGAUUGAUUUUUUCAAUUUUGGAUUAUAAUGAGUUUAUAAUAAAUCAGAUAGGCCAUGUGGGCACGUACCUAGGGAGGACGGAUCAUUGCACUUGCAGGAUUUUUCUCAUUACUUGCUUUACAAACUCCAUCUCAUACUCUCUAUACUUCUUGAGCACUUUCUUGUCAUAAGAGAGGCUACCAAAGUCUCUUCCAUUAUUUCACGCUCCAAAUUCCAGGGGAUUGUUGAUGAUAUCCCUAGAAAGAGAUAGGCUAUUUAAGAAAGUUUCAGACAAAACCAUACGUAUACUUUUUUUAUGUUCUCACAAUAAUCACUAUAAGUUAUUAGUUAUUUGGCUGCUAUAAGAGUAUUUUAAAUACUAGUAGAGAUCCACCUAUUAUUAGAUGAGCCAUUAAAUUUAAAUUAUUACACUACUUAUCACAAUGACUCAUAUCAAAAUCAUUCAAUUUUAAUUUAAACUUAAUUAUUAGAUAAUAUCUUGGGUUAAGGGUGGGGUCAAACCCAACCUGAUUUCUAACCAAUCAGGAAGUGUUGUGUGUGGUACGGUUUAUUUCAUUAAGUUGUAAAAUACUUAUAUGUCUUCUUGGUAAUAGAGGGAGUAAACAAAGUGGUUAAAACUAGCUCAUUAAAUGUAAAAUUUUGUUUAAUAAAGUCGUGUUAGAAAUAUUGCAUAUUUUAUUAAAAACUGAUACGUCAUUGAUUAUAAAAUAUAAAUCAUCAAAAACUUAUUUCUAUUAUCUUGUUAAAAUAGUUUAUUAAUUUAAAAUUUGUAAUAAUUUAACAUUUUUCUUUCCAGGCUGCUAGGUUUGACUAAUUCAUAUAAACAUACUAGCAUGAUGCACAUGUGCAUUGGAUCUGGGUGCGCACGCAUGCAUAAAAAAAGUUCCUAACAACUAACAAGGAGACAGAUUGUGAAAUGAGAAAGCAACAGGCAGGUUGACUUACUUACCUGGAGGGGUCAUUGGGUGGGGAAAGAAUAAAGAUUCAAGAAAAGACCAUGACCUAAUGACCUAGGCUAGGUUAUGUGUCCCAGUGACCUUCAUUGCAUUUCAGAGGCUGCUCGCCUAAUUAUGGCGGUCAGUCGGGGCCUGGGCCAGCGUUCAUGCCAUAUGAUCCCUGCUUCCGUAGAAAAGAUUAUAGGUUAUAUCCUGGUCAGGCUCUUUCAAGCUAUUUUACGAUGAGGCAGACCCACGGAACCCAUUAACUGUGAGGGGAGAAAUAUACACCCAAAAUAGGGUAUAUUUUCUCAUUUUUUACGGAUUUCAAAAAAAUAAAUAAAUUUAUUUCACAUCGUAAAUAUUGUCAAUAAAUAUAUAUAAUUUCAAAAACUUAAUAUAAAGAUUGAUUGAGUUUGUAUCA